GAAAUGGUGUGAAGACAGGAUCACAAAAGAAAUUUCCAUAUUACACAGGAUUAGCUGAGUCCUCCAAAGAUUCAGAGUCCACAGAACCUCCAUCUCUGUGAUUCCAUCCAGGACUUCCAUCAUCUGAGGAUUUUCUCACAGAAGAAGUCUCUACUUGCUAUGGGGACAAUACAGCUUUCUCCGUUUCUUUAUAUCUCAAAAGUCCCGGCUGGCAAUGAGAAAAGAAGGUGGGACAUCUACUGGUCUGAGGCUUUCAUCAUAUCCACACCCUUCCCCAGCUUCUGCAAAUGUUAGAGAACCACUCUGGGGUGCUGCUGGCUGGAAUGGAGGGAGAAUCCACAGCAGUACAAGGAACAAGGCUGGGAAGACGCAGGCUCCCGGAGGCCAGGGGAAGCUGGCUUUCCAGGAGGAGGACGUGGGCAGUAGGACUCUGCCACUGAGUUUCAGAGUGUGAAGACCAAAAGGUGCAAAAGGAAUAAGAACGGAAUCUGAGAUCCUAUCUUUGGAUUCUGCAAUCAAGAUCUUCUACCCACUUCUAUCAGUCUUCCGCUGUUCCUGCUUGCCAUGAAAGCCUGGUCUAUAGCUUCCUUUUCGUUGGCACCUUUUCUUUUUAUGGCAAAGAUAAAAAUUCAGAGACAAA
rnacentral:lncRNA from 12 species